rnacentral:rRNA from 1 species
CCUACGGGUGGCUGCAGUGGGGAAUAUUGGACAAUGGGCGCAAGCCUGACGCAGCAACGCCGCGUGAAUGAAGAAGGCCCUCGGGUUGUAAACUACUUUUAUUCGGGACGAAACAAAUGACGGUAACGAAUGCAUCAACCGCCGCUAACUGCGUGCCAGGAGCCGGGGUAAUACGUAGUUGGCAAGCGUUAACCGGAUUUAGUGGGUGUAAAGGGCGGGUAGGCGGGAGGGUAAGUCAGAUGUGAAAUUCCAGGGCUCAACCCUGGAACUGCGUGUGAUACUGGUAUUAUUGAGUGUUGGAGAGGCAGGUAGAAUUCCAGGUGUAGCGGUGAAAUGCGUAGAUAUCCGGAGGAAGACCAGUGGCGAAGGCGGCCUGCUGGACAUUAACUGACGCUGAGGUGCGAAAGCGUGGGGAGCAAACAGGAUUAGAUACCCCGGUAGUC